AGUCUCACCCAGAAAAACUUGAUUGUUUUAUUGAUUACCUGCUUCCCCUGCUGCUGUGUCCAUCCACUGUGAAGGAUUUCAUAAGAAAAAAACAGAAGCCACAAUGUAGCUGCUCACAGAUGGGAGAUGUCCAUCAGCCAACUGAUGAGCCAGAUCAUGGUGCACCUGGCAGCUGUGGAAAGCAUCUGGACAUGCACCCCUAAGGUGGGAGGUGAUGCAUCCAAGUGAUGAGCUGUAAGGCUGGGCCCUG
rnacentral:lncRNA from 1 species